rnacentral:rRNA from 1 species
AGCGAACAUUGGCGGUAGGCUUAACACAUGCAAGUCGAGCGAGGCGUAAUAGUCGAGCGGCGAACGGGUGAGUAAUACAUGGAAAUCUACCCUGAAGUGGGGGAUAACGUCCAGAAAUGGACGCUAAUACCGCAUAAUCCAUAUUGGGAAAGCGUUGCAGCGCUUUAGGAUGAGUCCAUGGCUGAUUAGCUUGUUGGUGAGGUAACGGCUCACCAAGGCGACGAUCAGUAGCUGGUCUGAGAGGAUGACCAGCCACACUGGAACUGAGACACGGUCCAGACCCCUACGGGAGGCAGCAGUGGGGAAUCUUGCGCAAUGGGGGCAACCCUGACGCAGCCAUACCGCGUGAGUGAUGAAGGUCUUCGGAUUGUAAAGCUCUUUCGGCGGGGACGACGAUGACGGUACCCGCAAAAGAAGUCACGGCUAACUUCGUGCCAGCAGCCGCAGUAA